rfam:Schistosoma haematobium scaffold677_11, whole genome shotgun sequence.
AUCCAGCUGAUGAGUCCCAAAUAAAAUGAAACGCGCGUCCUGGAU